UGGGGAAUAUUGCGCAAUGGGGGGAACCCUGACGCAGCCAUGCCGCGUGAAUGAAGAAGGCCUUAGGGUUGUAAAGUUCUUUCGGUAUUGAGGAAGGUUGAUGUGUUAAUAGCACAUCAAAUUGACGUUAAAUACAGAAGAAGCACCGGCUAACUCCGUGCCAGCAGCCGCGGUAAUACGGAGGGUGCGAGCGUUAAUCGGAAUAACUGGGCGUAAAGGGCACGCAGGCGGUUAUUUAAGUGAGGUGUGAAAGCCCUGGGCUUAACCUAGGAAUUGCAUUUCAGACUGGGUGACUAGAGUACUUUAGGGAGGGGUAGAAUUCCACGUGUAGCGGUGAAAUGCGUAGAGAUGUGGAGGAGUACCGAAGGCGAAGGCAGCCCCUUGGGAAUGUACUGACGCUCAUGUGCGAAAGCGUGGGGAGCAAACAGGAUUAGAUACCCUGGUAGUCCACGCUGUAAACGCUGUCGAUUUGGGGGUUGGGGUUUAACUCUGGCGCCCGUAGCUAACGUGAUAAAUCGACCGCCUGGGGAGUACGGCCGCAAGGUUA
rnacentral:rRNA from 1 species